CCCUUGCUUGUCUCAAAGAUUAAGCCAUGCAUGUGUAAGCACAUGCCUUAAAAUGGUAAAGCCGCGAAUGGCUCGGUAUAACAGCCACCGUUUAUUAGACGUUAGUUAUCUACUCGGAUAACUGUGGCAAUUCUAGAGCUAAUACGUGCACGAAGGCUCGGACCUUUUGGGAAGAGCGCAUUUAUUAGACCAAAACCAAUCGAGCUUCGGCUUGUGUUUUGGUGACUCUGAAUAACUAAGUCGAUCGCACAGUCUUAGUACUGGCGACGUAUUUUUCAAAUGUCUGCCUUAUCAACUUUCGAUGGUAGGUUAUACGCCUACCAUGGUUAUAACGGGUAACGGAGAAUAAGGGUUCGACUCCGGAGAGGGAGCCUGAGAAAUGGCUACCACAUCCAAGGAAGGCAGCAGGCGCGCAAAUUACCCAAUCCCAGAACGGGGAGGUAGUGACGAAAAAUAACGAGGUAGUCCACUUUGUGGCCUGCCAUCGGAAUGGGUACAAUUAAAUCUUAACGAGAU
rnacentral:rRNA from 1 species